GAUGAACGCUGGCGGCGUGCUUAACACAUGCAAGUCGAACGAUGAAGCCCAGCUUUCUGGGUGGAUUAGUGGCGAACGGGUGAGUAACACGUGAGUAACCUGCCCUUAACUCUUGGAUAAGCCUGGGAAACUGGGUCUAAUACCGGAUAGGAGCGUCCACCGCAUGGUGGGUGUUGGAAAGAUUUAUCGGUUUUGGAUGGACUCGCGGCCUAUCAGCUUGUUGGUGAGGUAAUGGCUCACCAAGGCGACGACGGGUAGCCGGCCUGAGAGGGUGACCGGCCACACUGGGACUGAGACACGGCCCAGACUCCUACGGGAGGCAGCAGUGGGGAAUAUUGCACAAUGGGCGCAAGCCUGAUGCAGCGACGCCGCGUGAGGGAUGACGGCCUUCGGGUUGUAAACCUCUUUCAGUAGGGAAGAAGCGAAAGUGACGGUACCUGAAGAAGAAGCACCGGCUAACUACGUG
rnacentral:rRNA from 1 species